rnacentral:rRNA from 1 species
CCCUUAGAUGUUCUGGGCUGCACGCGCGCUACACUGAAGCGUUCAACGAGUAUUCACCUUGCCCGGGAGGGUUGGGUAAUCUUUUGAAAACGCUUCGUGAUGGGGAUAGAUUAUUGCAAUUAUUAAUCUUCAACGAGGAAUUCCUAGUAAGCGCGAGUCAUCAGCUCGUGCUGAUUACGUCCCUGCCCUUUGUACACACCGCCCGUCGCACCUACCGAUUGAAUGGUCCGGUGAAGCCUCGGGAUUGUGGCCAGUUCACUUUAUUGGGAGUUGGCUGCGAGAACUUGUCUAAACCUUAUCAUUUAGAGGAAGGUGAAGUCGUAACA